rnacentral:rRNA from 1 species
UUGAACGCUGGCGGCAUGCUUUACACAUGCCAGUCGAACGGUAACAGGCCUUCGGGUGCUGACGAGUGGCGAACGGGUGAGUAAUGCAUCGGAACGUACCCAGAGGUGGGGGAUAACGCAGCGAAAGCUGUGCUAAUACCGCAUGUGAUCUGAGGAUGAAAGCGGGGGACCGAGCAGCAAUGUUUGGCCUCGCGCCUUUGGAGCGGCCGAUGUCGGAUUAGCUAGUUGGUGGGGUAAAGGCCUACCAAGGCGACGAUCCGUAGCUGGUCUGAGAGGACGACCAGCCACACUGGGACUGAGACACGGCCCAGACUCCUACGGGAGGCAGCAGUGGGGAAUUUUGGACAAUGGGCGCAAGCCUGAUCCAGCAAUGCCGCGUGCGGGAAGAAGGCCUUCGGGUUGUAAACCGCUUUUGGCAGGAACGAAACGGUGUCCGCUAAUACCGGGCGCUAAUGACGGUACCUGCAGAAUAAGCACCGGCUAACUACGUG